rnacentral:rRNA from 1 species
GACGAACGCUGGCGGUGUGCUUAACACAUGCAAGUGGUGCGACGAACCAGAGCUUGCUCUGGGGCAAAGCCGCGAACGGGUGAGUAACACGUGGGUAAUCUACCCCGAUGACCGGGACAACCCGAGGAAACUCGGGCUAAUACCGGAUGUGGUGCGGAGACAUAAGUCUCUUCACUAAAGGUAGCUUCGGCUUCCGCAUUGGGAGGGGCCCGCGGCCCAUUAGCUUGUUGGUGGGGUCAAGGCCUACCAAGGCAACGAUGGGUAGCUGGUCUGAGAGGACGAUCAGCCACACUGGGACUGAGACACGGCCCAGACUCCUACGGGAGGCAGCAGUGGGGAAUCUUGCGCAAUGCGCGAAAGCGUGACGCAGCAACACCGCGUGAGGGAAGAAGGCCUUAGGGCUGUAAACCUCUUUCAGAUGGGACGAAGGUUCUCCGGUGAAUAGCCGAGAGGAUUGACGGUACCGUCAGAAGAAGCUCCGGCUAACUACGUG